rnacentral:rRNA from 1 species
UACGGAAGGCAGCAGUGGGGAAUAUUGCACAAUGGGCGCAAGCCUGAUGCAGCCAUGCCGCGUGUAUGAAGAAGGCCUUCGGGUUGUAAAGUACUUUCAGUCGUGAGGAAGGUGUUAAGGUUAAUAACCUUAGCAAUUGACGUUAGCGACAGAAGAAGCACCGGCUAACUCCGUGCCAGCAGCCGCGGUAAUACGGAGGGUGCGAGCGUUAAUCGGAAUUACUGGGCGUAAAGGGCACGCAGGCGGUUAAUUAAGUUGGAUGUGAAAUCCCCGGGCUUAACCUGGGAAUGGCAUUCAAGACUGGUUAGCUAGAGUCUUGUAGAGGGGGUAGAAUUCCAUGUGUAGCGGUGAAAUGCGUAGAGAUGUGGAGGAAUACCGGUGGCGAAGGCGGCCCCUGGACAAAAGACUGACGCUCAUGUGCGAAAGCGUGGGGAGCAAAACAGGGAAUU